AUUGAACGCUGGCGGAAUGCUCUACACAUGCAAGUCGAACGGCAGCACGGGGCAACCUGGUGGCGAGUGGCGAACGGGUGAGUAAUACAUCGGAGCGUGCCCAAUCGUGGGGGAUAACGUAGCGAAAGUUACGCUAAUACCGCAUACGAUCUACGGAUGAAAGCGGGGAUCGCAAGACCUCGCGCGAAUGGAGCGGCCGAUGUCAGAUUAGGUAGUUGGUGGGGUAAAGGCUCACCAAGCCAACGAUCUGUAGCUGGUCUGAGAGGACGACCAGCCACACUGGGACUGAGACACGGCCCAGACUCCUACGGGAGGCAGCAGUGGGGAAUUUUGGACAAUGGGCGCAAGCCUGAUCCAGCCAUUCCGCGUGCAGGAUGAAGGCCU
rnacentral:rRNA from 1 species